GGAUGAGCCCGCGGCCUAUCAGCUUGUUGGUGAGGUAACGGCUCACCAAGGCGACGACGGGUAGCUGGUCUGAGAGGACGAUCAGCCACACUGGGACUGAGACACGGCCCAGACUCCUACGGGAGGCAGCAGUGGGGAAUAUUGCACAAUGGGCGAAAGCCUGACGCAGCAACGCCGCGUGCGGGAUGAAGGCCUUCGGGUUGUAAACCGCUUUCAGUGGGGACGAAUUCAGACGGUACCCACAGAAGAAGCCCCGGCCAACUACGUGACAGCAGCCGCGGCCG
rnacentral:rRNA from 1 species